AGAGUUUGAUCCUGGCUCAGAUUGAACGCUGGCGGCAGGCCUAACACAUGCAAGUCGAAUGGUAACAGGAAACAGCUUGCUGUUUCGCUGACGAGUGGCGGACGGGUGAGUAAUGUCUGGGAAACUGCCUGAUGGAGGGGGAUAACUACUGGAAACGGUAGCUAAUACCGCAUAACGUCGCAAGACCAAAGAGGGGGACCUUCGGGCCUCUUGCCAUCAGAUGUGCCCAGAUGGGAUUAGCUAGUAGGUGGGGUAACGGCUCACCUAGGCGACGAUCCCUAGCUGGUCUGAGAGGAUGACCAGCCACACUGGAACUGAGACACGGUCCAGACUCCUACGGGAGGCAGCAGUGGGGAAUAUUGCACAAUGGGCGCAAGCCUGAUGCAGCCAUGCCGCGUGUAUGAAGAAGGCCUUCGGGUUGUAAAGUACUUUCAGCGGGGAGGAAGGGAGUAAAGUUAAUACCUUUGCUCAUUGACGUUACCCGCAGAAGAAGCACCGGCUAACUCCGUGCCAGCAGCCGCGGUAAUACGGAGGGUGCAAGCGUUAAUCGGAAUUACUAGGCGUAAAGCGCACGCAGGCGGUUUGUUAAGUCAGAUGUGAAAUCCCCGGGCUCAACCUGGGAACUGCAUCUGAUACUGGCAAGCUUGAGUCUCGUAGAGGGGGGUAGAAUUCCAGGUGUAGCGGUGAAAUGCGUAGA
rnacentral:rRNA from 1 species